rnacentral:rRNA from 1 species
UGGGGAAUAUUGCGCAAUGGGGGGAACCCUGACGCAGCCAUGCCGCGUGAAUGAAGAAGGCCUUAGGGUUGUAAAGUUCUUUCGGUAUUGAGGAAGGUUGAUGUGUUAAUAGCACAUCAAAUUGACGUUAAAUACAGAAGAAGCACCGGCUAACUCCGUGCCAGCAGCCGCGGUAAUACGGAGGGUGCGAGCGUUAAUCGGAAUAACCGGGCGUAAAGGGCACGCAGGCGGUUAUUUAAGUGAGGUGUGAAAGCCCCGGGCUUAACCUGGGAAUUGCAUUUCAGACUGGGUAACUAGAGUACUUUAGGGAGGGGUAGAAUUCCACGUGUAGCGGUGAAAUGCGUAGAGAUGUGGAGGAAUACCGAAGGCGAAGGCAGCCCCUUGGGAAUGUACUGACGCUCAUGUGCGAAAGCGUGGGGAGCAAACAGGAUUAGAUACCCUGGUAGUCCACGCUGUAAACGCUGUCGAUUUGGGGGUUGGGGUUUAACUCUGGCGCCCGUAGCUAACGUGAUAAAUCGACCGCCUGGGGAGUACGGCCGCAAGGUUA